rnacentral:rRNA from 1 species
AGCGUAGGAGACAAACGUUAUCCGGAGUUACUGGGCGUAAAGGGCGUGUAGGUGGUUUCGUAAGUCUGGCGUGAAAUUUUUCGGCUUAACCGGGAAAGGUCGUCGGAUACUGCGGAGCCAGAGGACGGUAGAGGCGUGUGGAAUUCCGGGUGUAGUGGUGAAAUGCGUAGAGAUCCGGAGGAACACCAGUGGCGAAGGCGACACGCUGGGCCGUACCUGACACUGAUGCGCGACAGCAUGGGGAGCAAACAGG